GGAUUGUGGCUCAAUGGCAGAGUGCUUGCCUCACAUGUGUGAGGCACUGGGUUCAAUCCUCAGCACCA
rnacentral:tRNA from 1 species